CAGUUCUCCUUUCCUAUCAGUACCCACCCUUCAUUCCUUCCUUCCACCUAAUUAUAUUAUCUUCCUCUUUUCACCACAAACAUACCUUUCUCCAUAUUAUUCCUCCGGGAUUCAAUUACGCGAUUGUUAUGUUUAAAAUCAAGUCUUACAAGUGUUUUAUCAAUACAAAUUACAAUAGGUACUAUUAAACCUAUUUCUCGGUAACUUGUAGCCUCUUCCUCCGCAGCUACUUUGGGCUAGUGGCAUAAGAUUGUUCUACGCAUCUUCUGCACAAGUUAUUUUAAGAGAUUACCAGAGUGUUAACAGUCCACAAUAAUGUUUACACUAUAUUAAGCAAUAUCGAAACAAAAACGCAACUCUGCAGAAUCCAUAGACUUCCAGACAAACCUUUCGGCAAGGUAAUAUAAUAGGAAGUCAUAUUUAAACUUUAAUGGUACGUCGCCAAAUAAUACUUCCACAAUCCGACUAAACAGCUAUAACCCUACAUUACUGCCCGUCUAUUUUUACCUCUAACAAGCUGUUUUUGUGCCACAAGAGUUUGUGCGCGUAAGUCCAAGAAUAGUCGAGAUACACGUGGGUAUGGUGCCAAUUCACUUGCACGUUGUACGCGUACAUCAAAUUCGAUUUGGCUUCAUUGUCAACGCCCAAAUUGUUCAUGAACAGCUGUCUGGAUUUCAACGCAUCGCACCUCCGCCCAAAUGUCGACUGUGCGUUGUUGGUUUUCAACAUUUUCUCGGUGCCAAAGUAGUUUCUCAGUAUCGCUCCCUGUAACUCGUCCAACCCGGGUUUCCCACCUGGAGACGUCUGCAUAACGUGUACCGCGUGCCAGUCGCGGUACGUGUCAAACGUAUUGCCUUGGCGACAACGAGCCGAGUCCUUUUGUAGCUGCUCGAUGACAUAACUAUGGGUGCCGAUGAGAUUGUCGAUAGCCUGUGAUCUAGCCCGCUGGUCCUGCUGGUUCAUAAGUACUUUUUCGUGAUAGUUCGGCAUCGUGUGGAUGUACAAGUGCAAGAUCCACAACGAACCGAUUUUCACCUCGUCCGAAUCGUUGUCGUACAACGUACAUAUUAUCGUUUUGCUGUUGUAGCCAGUGUAAACCAUGCCCGCCGCAAUGCUAGUACAAAUGUUUUGGUCUUCCAACAUCAACUUAGUGAGUCGCAUGCAGAUGUAUCGCACACAAGAACGGGCGGCACUAAACUUGGACGAAUUAAGAAUAAUUAAAUACCUAAUCGUAUUGAACAAAUUAUUUCAACGUAAAUUGUAUUUAAAAAUGAUUCAUCAAUCACAUAUGUAUAUACGAUAUUCUAUUAGAAAACAAAUAAUAGACAAUAAAAAUAAAUUAUUAACAUGAUUACUGGAAACUAGAUGCGAUUAUAAUAAGACAAUACUAUUGAGACAUUUUUUUUUUAAUUUCUAUG